AAGAAAUAUUUGAAGAGAUAAGAGGACAAAUUUUAAAAAUUGAAUAAGGGUAAAAGAGUAAAAAAUUAGUAUCUCACAAGUUGUGUCUCAGUGUCUCAUCAAAUUAGAGGUACACAAAUUUAGUGUCUCCGUGUCCAUCCGUGUCCUCCCGUGUCCAUCAAAAAUCUGUCUCACCAAACCAAACAGCAGACAUAUGUCAUCGUGUUCAUGUCUCAUUGAGACAUGGACAUCAACCAAACACUACCUUAUUUUCAUAUGUGGUUUGAU